rnacentral:rRNA from 1 species
UGGGGGAUAUUGCACAAUGGGCGAAAGCCUGAUGCAGCGACGCCGCGUGAGGGAAGACGGUUUUCGGAUUGUAAACCUCUGUCUUCGGGGACGAAACAAGACGGUACCCGAGGAGGAAGCCACGGCUAACUACGUGCCAGCAGCCGCGGUAAUACGUAGGUGGCAAGCGUUGUCCGGAAUUACUGGGUGUAAAGGGAGUGUAGGCGGGACUUCAAGUCCGUUGUUAAACCGAUCGGCUCAACUGAUCGCUGCGGCGGAAACUGAAGUUCUUGAGUGAGGUAGAGGCAGGCGGAAUUCCCAGUGUAGCGGUGAAAUGCGUAGAUAUUGGGAGGAACACCAGUGGCGAAGGCGGCCUGCUGGGCCUUAACUGACGCUGAGGCUCGAAAGUGUGGGGAGCAAACAGG